rnacentral:rRNA from 1 species
GUGAACGCUGGCGGUAGGCCUAACACAUGCAAGUCGAACGGCAGCACAGUAAGAGCUUGCUCUUACGGGUGGCGAGUGGCGGACGAGUGAGGAAUACAUCGGAAUCUACUUUUUCGUGGGGGAUAACGUAGGGAAACUUACGCUAAUACCGCAUACGACCUACGGGUGAAAGCAGGGGAUCUUCGGACCUUGCGCGAUUGAAUGAGCCGAUGUCGGAUUAGCUAGUUGGCGGGGUAAAGGCCCACCAAGGCGACGAUCCGUAGCUGGUCUGAGAGGAUGAUCAGCCACACUGGAACUGAGACACGGUCCAGACUCCUACGGGAGGCAGCAGUGGGGAAUAUUGGACAAUGGGCGCAAGCCUGAUCCAGCCAUACCGCGUGGGUGAAGAAGGCCUUCGGGUUGUAAAGCCCUUUUGUUGGGAAAGAAAAGCAGCAGGUUAAUACCCCGCUGUUCUGACGGUACCCAAAGAAUAAGCACCGGCUAACUUCGUG